AGUCGAACGAUGAAGCUUCUAGCUUGCUAGAAGUGGAUUAGUGGCGCACGGGUGAGUAAGGUAUAGUUAAUCUGCCCUACACAAGAGGACAACAGUUGGAAACGACUGCUAAUACUCUAUACUCCUGCUUAACACAAGUUGAGUAGGGAAAGUUUUUCGGUGUAGGAUGAGACUAUAUAGUAUCAGCUAGUUGGUAAGGUAAUGGCUUACCAAGGCUAUGACGCUUAACUGGUCUGAGAGGAUGAUCAGUCACACUGGAACUGAGACACGGUCCAGACUCCUACGGGAGGCAGCAGUAGGGAAUAUUGCGCAAUGGGGGAAACCCUGACGCAGCAACGCCGCGUGGAGGAUGACACUUUUCGGAGCGUAAACUCCUUUUCUUAGGGAAGAAAUCUGACGGUACCUAAGGAAUAAGCACCGGCUAACUCCGUGCCAGCAGCCGCGGUAAUACGGAGGGUGCAAGCGUUACUCGGAAUCACUGGGCGUAAAGGGCGCGUAGGCGGAUUAUCAAGUCUCUUGUGAAAUCUAAUGGCUUAACCAUUAAACUGCUUGGGAAACUGAUAGUCUAGAGUGAGGGAGAGGCAGAUGGAAUUGGUGGUGUAGGGGUAAAAUCCGUAGAUAUCACCAAGAAUACCCAUUGCGAAGGCGAUCUGCUGGAACUCAACUGACGCUAAGGCGCGAAAGCGUGGGGAGCAAACAGGAUUAGAUACCCUGGUAGUCCACGCCCUAAACGAUGUACACUAGUUGUUGGGGUGCUAGUCAUCUCAGUAAUGCAGCUAACGCAUUAAGUGUACCGCCUGGGGAGUACGGUCGCAAGAUUAAAACUCAAAGGAAUAGACGGGGACCCGCACAAGCGGUGGAGCAUGUGGUUUAAUUCGAAGAUACGCGAAGAACCUUACCUGGGCUUGAUAUCCUAAGAACCUUUUAGAGAUAAGAGGGUGCUAGCUUGCUAGAACUUAGAGACAGGUGCUGCACGGCUGUCGUCAGCUCGUGUCGUGAGAUGUUGGGUUAAGUCCCGCAACGAGCGCAACCCACGUAUUUAGUUGCUAACGGUUCGGCCGAGCACUCUAAAUAGACUGCCUUCGUAAGGAGGAGGAAGGUGUGGACGACGUCAAGUCAUCAUGGCCCUUAUGCCCAGGGCGACACACGUGCUACAAUGGCAUAUACAAUGAGACGCAAUACCGCGAGGUGGAGCAAAUCUAUAAAAUAUGUCCCAGUUCGGAUUGUUCUCUGCAACUCGAGAGCAUGAAGCCGGAAUCGCUAGUAAUCGUAGAUCAGCCAUGCUACGGUGAAUACGUUCCCGGGUCUUGUACUCACCGCCCGUCACACCAUGGGAGUUGAUUUCACUCGAAGCCGGAAUACUAAACUAG
rnacentral:rRNA from 1 species